GGCGUGUUCGUCUAGUGGUCUAGGACGCUGGCCUCUCACGCCGGUAACAUGGGUUCGAGUCCCAUACACGCUA
rnacentral:tRNA from 1 species